UUCCGUAAGACAGGUCAUGCAACUCUAAGCCCUCCCUUCCCCCUUCCUCACCCUCCUGUUCUGAAACUGGGCAUAAAGAAAUUUUGUGUCCUACCCUUGUCUAACAUGAGACUCUCCUGGUACCAGAGGGUCCUGCUCCAUACCUGGGGAGCCAGAGAGGCCAAAAGGAAUCCACACAGAAAUCAGCAAAGAAGCACUUCCCUGAAAAACUUUCUGACUUCUUUGUCAAAAGAAAUGAUUCAUCAGUGAAACAGCCGCAGGAGAAUGCAGCAAAAAAGAAGAAAUUAUGUAUACAGAAAACAAAAGAUUCAAUUCAGCAAGGACCAGAACAAGUGAGCAAAAAAUCUUCAGGAAGAGAAAAACUAAUGAAACACAUGAUGCACUUGAUUAUAUUGAAAGAGAUUUCUAUAACUGGUGGAGAAUUAUAGUUGAAAAAGAAGUUUGUAUAAGAAAGGAAAAGUCAAGGCAUUCUAUAAAACUCAGCUAUAGAUACUGACAUUUCUAUCAUCCUAACAAUAGUCCUACAUCUAUCUCCAGGAGAGGAAGCCAGAGUCUGCUCACCCCCAGUGAGAGUGGAAAGGUAAAACUCACACUUUCAUCAGUUUCCAAGCCAUUGCAUGGAUAGAACACUCUGGAAUGGAGAGGAGUUCAUGUGAAUGAUCCCAUGACAGUGCACAUCCCAGCCCUGAAGUUUUAGAGUGGUGCCUAAUGGGUAUAAAAAGAAUAAAUCAAAAGAACCCCAACAAGCAAGCCAGCAAUUUCUCAACAGCUUUCUUCCUCUCA